rnacentral:lncRNA from 1 species
GAUUGUUUCGGAUAUCGAUCUACAACUACAGUCAAGAUUAUUACUCCCUCUACUGGCACUGCAUCGUCAGUAAACCCUAUCAACAGGGAGCUAAUCGGCCCUAACCGACCAUCAGGGAUGGAUAUUUUUGAGAAUGCAUCGUAAAAUAAAAUAUCGAUCGAGCUUCCACUAUCAACAAGAAUGCGGCGUACAUCAUAAUCAGUGAUAUUUAAAGAAAC